GAAACCACUGAGUGAAACUUCUGCACAUCAAGCCGUGGCUCCACACACAGAGGAUGCAGAGUGUGAGGAGAAAGAAAUGCACUGACGUCACAUGUCCUCAGGGCAGCGAGGGUGGAGUGAGGUGGGACGGUUUGCACCAGUUAGUGACUCAGGCUUUCAUCUGUCUCCUCCCCUUCCCGGAGACACACUGUGUCCCCCAUUAACCAACGGGUGACUCCAGCCUCCGCCAUUCAGUGAAUGACCACACAGGUACACAGGUGUAUCUUCCGUUUAGAAUAAGGUUUGAUCCCAGAGCCGAGUCAUGCAUACCUGCUCUCCUCCAUCACCUCCAUCCAGUGCAUGCAGGUGACAGCGUUCUGCAUUGGAAACACGUGAAGGAUCUCUGCUUUCUCAACACCACACAGGACCACCUGCUUGGUGUCUCUGAGGUUGAAGGCCAAUACUGGAGAUUAAAGACAGAAUAACAGCUUCAUGUUCCCAUCAACAUGCAGACGACUAACAACAGAAAGAUGUACACAUGUCAUUCCUUACUUUUGCCAUCUGGUCGCCAGGCAAGUGCAGUGAUCUCCUUCCCAGUAUACUCACUAGGUGGUAAGCUCCAAACACGCUGGAAACUAGCCAAGCGAUGCAGCAGCAACUACGGACAACAUGAACCAUAAAAUUACAAAACCAUGAAAGAUAGCAAGACAUUUUUCUGGAUUUAACAAAAAAGGUUUUUAAGCCUACCUCUCCACUUGUGUUGGCCAGAGCAAUAAGAUCCCUUUUGGGAGACCAUGCCAUACACAGUACAGG